rnacentral:rRNA from 1 species
AAAUGAAUAGACGGGGGCCCGCACAAGCGGAGGAACAUGUGGUUUAAUUCGAUGAUACGCGAGGAACCUUACCCGGGCUUGAAAGUUAGCGACGGAUCAGGAAACUGGUCUUCCCUUCGGGGCGCGAAACUAGGUGCUGCAUGGUUGUCGUCAGCUCGUGCCGUGAGGUGUCGGGUUAAGUCCCAUAACGAGCGCAACCCCUACCGUUAGUUGCCAUCAGGUCAAGCUGGGCACUCUGGCGGAACUGCCACCGUAAGGUGAGAGGAAGGUGGGGAUGACGUCAAAUCAGCACGGCCCUUACGUCCGGGGCUACACACGUGUUACAAUGGUCGGUACAGAGGGCAGCUACCCAGUGAUGGGAUGCGAAUCUCGAAAGCCGAUCUCAGUUCGGAUUGGAGGCUGAAACCCGCCUCCAUGAAGUUGGAUUCGCUAGUAAUCGCGCAUCAGCCAUGGCGCGGUGAAUACGUUCCCGGGCCUUGUACACACCGCCCGU